rnacentral:rRNA from 1 species
CAGAGUACCACGGGACACGUGAAACGCGGUGGGAAGCAGGAGGGACCACCCUCCAGGGCUAAAUACUACCUAGUGACCGAUAGCGUAUAGUACCGUGAGGGAAAGGUGAAAAGAACCCCGGGAGGGGAGUGAAAUAGAACCUGAAACCCUGCACUUACAAGCUGUGGAAGCACAUUUCUUGUGUGACCGCGUACUUUUUGUAGAACGGGCCAACGAGUUACGUUAAGUAGCAAGGUUAAGCACUUAAGGUG